rnacentral:rRNA from 1 species
UACGUAGGGUGCGAGCGUUAAUCGGAAUUACUGGGCGUAAAGCGUGCGCAGGCGGUGAGCUGUGUCCGAUGUGAAAGCCCCGGGCUUAACCUGGGAAUGGCAUUGGAAACUGGCUCGCUGGAGUGUGGCAGGAGGGGGGUGGAAUUCCGCGUGUAGCAGUGAAAUGCGUAGAGAUGCGGAGGAACACCGAUGGCGAAGGCAGCCCCCUGGGCCGACACUGACGCUCAGGCACGAAAGCGUGGGGAGCAAACAGG